UACGUAGGGGGCUAGCGUUAUCCGGAAUUACUGGGCGUAAAGGGUGCGUAGGCGGUCUUUCAAGCCAGAAGUGAAAGGCUACGGCUCAACCGUAGUAAGCUUUUGGAACUAUAGGACUUGAGUGCAGGAGAGGAGAGUGGAAUUCCUAGUGUAGCGGUGAAAUGCGUAGAUAUUAGGAGGAACACCAGUAGCGAAGGCGGCUCUCUGGACUGUAACUGACGCUGAGGCACGAAAGCGUGGGGAGCAAACGGG
rnacentral:rRNA from 1 species